rnacentral:rRNA from 1 species
UACGUAGGCAGCGAGCGUUGUUCGGAUUUACUGGGCGUAAAGCGUGCGUAGGCGGUGGUCCAAGUCUGGUGUGAAAUCUCCCGGCUUAACUGGGAGGGUGCGCCGGAAACUGGGCCGCUGGAGUACGGGAGAGGCAAGCGGAAUUCCAGGUGUAGCGGUGAAAUGCGUAGAUAUCUGGAGGAACACCCGUGGUGAAGACGGCUUGCUGGACCGUGACUGACGCUGAGGCACGAAAGCGUGGGUAGCAAACAGG